rnacentral:snRNA from 1 species
GUACUUGCUUCAGCAGCACGUAUAUUAAAACUGGAACAAUACACAGAUUAGCAUGGCCCCUGUGCAAGGAUGAUAUGCAAAUUUGUGAAGCAGUCCAUGUUUUU